rnacentral:rRNA from 1 species
UACGUAGGGUGCAAGCGUUGUCCGGAAUUAUUGGGCGUAAAGAGCUCGUAGGCGGUGUGUCGCGUCGGCCGUGAAAACCUGCAGCUUAACUGUGGGCUUGCGGUCGAUACGGGCAUCACUGGAGUUCGGCAGGGGAGACUGGAAUUCCUGGCGUAGCGGUGAAAUGCGCAGAUAUCAGGAGGAACACCGGUGGCGAAGGCGGGUCUCUGGGCCGAUACUGACGCUGAGGAGCGAAAGCGUGGGGAGCAAACAGG